rnacentral:rRNA from 1 species
UACGUAGGGGGCAAGCGUUGUCCGGAUUUACUGGGCGUAAAGAGCGUGUAGGCGGCCAAACAGGUCCGUUGUGAAAACUGGAGGCUCAACUUCCAGACGUCGACGGAAACCGUGUGGCUAGAGUCCGGAAGAGGAGAGUGGAAUUCCUGGUGUAGCGGUGAAAUGUGCAGAUAUCAGGAAGAACCCCCGUGGCUAAGGCGGCUCUCUAGUACGGUACUGACGCUGAGACGCGCAAGCGUGGGGAGCGAACAGG